CAGUAGGACCCACUGGCCUGCUGCAGCCGCUGCACCAUCCAGACUCAUGCCCAGAAAGUUCACUUUACCAUUAUCUAGAACUGGGAUUGGGGUUGGGGGAGAUGUUUUUGAGCCGUCACCUGGAAACACAGAGGCUUUCUUUCUUUGGACUUUGUGGCGGUUGGCAACCAACUUCACAACGUUACUACAACCAACCGGAGUGUGGACCUAAAUUCCUCUUCCAAUCACCCACGUGGGUAUGUGCUCCUAAAAACCAAUGAGGAGAUGAGAGGCCGGACUUGCAGCGCAUUGAGCGUCACAAAUAGAACCAAUUUCUAUUUUAGCGCCUGACCAUGCAGACGCUCGCGAGGAGUGUGGGUGCAAUGAUUGAAUAACAUGUGUGUGUACAUUUAUUUUGCAACACGAGCGGUGUGGUCAGCAUGUAAGUAACUAACUUACUCAGUUACAUAGUAACUUACUUAGGCUACUUACUUAUGAACUUUCUUACACUCCAAAUGUGAGAGAGAAAUGACGUAUUUACCUGAUUAGUUUGAUAUUAAUAGUUAACAGAUAAGACAUUUCUGUUCUACUAAUGCUGUGACUUUAUGGUCUCCACUCUAGCUCCCUGCAGCUAAUCUGUGUGUAUAAGAACCAGGAUUCCUCUGUAAGGUCAGGCUCAAGAGUGUUGGGUCAGGUCAGUCUCAUUAUUGCAGAGCACUCACUCCAUUCACGUGUGUGUGUGGUCUGCUUCUUAUUAAUACGUUUUGAAUAAAGUAAUAUCCUGAUAGGUGA